GAUGAACGCUGGCGGCGUGCUUAACACAUGCAAGUCGAACGAUGAAGCCCAGCUUGCUGGGUGGAUUAGUGGCGAACGGGUGAGUAACACGUGAGUAACCUGCCCUUAACUCUGGGAUAAGCCUGGGAAACUGGGUCUAAUACCGGAUAGGAGCGUCCACCGCAUGGUGGGUGUUGGAAAGAUUUAUCGGUUUUGGAUGGACUCGCGGCCUAUCAGCUUGUUGGUGAGGUAAUGGCUCACCAAGGCGACGACCGGUAGCCGGCCUGAGAGGGUGACCGGCCACGCUGGGACUGAGACACGGCCCAGACUCCUACGGGAGGCAGCAGUGGGGAAUAGUGCACAAUGGGCGCAAGCCUGAUGCAGCGACGCCGCGUGAGGGAUGACGGCAUUCGGGUUGUAAACCUCUUUCAGUAGGGAAGAAGCGAAAGUGACGGUACCUGCAGAAGAAGCACCGGCUAACUACGUG
rnacentral:rRNA from 1 species